AGAGAUUGAUUCAAAAACUAACUUCUUAUCAUAGCUGCUUCUAGUCCAUACAAACUUGCUUCGUACUUCGCCAUGCUAUUUAUUACCUUAAAGUCUAAUCUCUUGGCCAUCGAAAAUAUCUCGCCUUUUGGUAUGAUCAGGACUGCUCCUAACCCUGCACUCUUGCAUUCACUACUCAUCGAAGUACAACCUCCAUUCUUGAAUCUUGAUUACCCCAGAUUGCUAUCAAGA
rnacentral:lncRNA from 1 species